UUUCAUGCGUACGCUCAUGUCACUUCGUCAAAGCGACUCGCGCGCAAACCCGCAUUUGAUUUUUUUUUUCAUUUCCGAGGUGUAUUGGUUAAUUAUAAUAGGUGUAUGUGGGGGGAUGUUGUUCCAGCACUUGGUAGAAACAUAGCGGAAGCUGCCUCUGAAAGCGGCAGAGUUAUGACGUCUAGUGAUAAGCUGUUUUACACACUGCCGGGGCCCAUAAUAUGACUUGCGACAUGAUACCCAGGACAACUUACUAUGAAGAUAGCCAGGUGCUUUAUGUUUCAAGACCU